AAGCGUUUACGACCAGACUUGUGCCGGUUGAUCAUCCAGCGUUCUCGCUGGUGCACUCUGCCGGCCCAGGCCAGCAUCAGUUCGCCGCGGGGGAUAAAGGCGUCGGGAAUGUGGCUCCCCCGGGAGUGUUAUAGCCCUUCGCGCAAUACCCUGAGGCGGACUGAGGUUCGCGCAUUCGCAAGGAUGCUGGCGUAAUGGUCGUCAACGA
rnacentral:rRNA from 1 species